AGCAGCAAUUUUAGCUUUGGAGGUAAGAAUGUAAAAGCUUGACUCCAUUGGAGAAAGGUGGCUCCAUACUGACUACGGUUUUUUGUUGUUUUUCAUGAGACAGGGCUGAAACCCAGGCUGGAGUGCAGUAGCAUGAUCACAGCUCACUGUAGCCUUGACCUCCAGGAUUCAAGCAAUCCUCCCACCGCAGUCUUCCAAGAUCCCAGCUCUGUUGCCGAGGCUGGAGUGCAGUGGCGCAAUCUCGGCUCACUGCAACCUCCCCAUCUCAGGCUCAAGCAAUUCUCCCAGCUCAGCUCCCUGAGUAGCUGCGACCACAGAGAUGGGGUUUCACCAUGUUGCUCAGGCUGGUCUCAAAUUCCUGGACUCAGGGGAUCCACCUGCCUCAGCCUUCAUCCUCACACUUAAUAUAUUAAUAUAGAACAUGCUGUAAGAUCAGAAGCAGUUUAUAUAGUAUGCUGUCAUUUUGU